rnacentral:rRNA from 1 species
UACGGGGGUAGGGCAGUCGUUGUCGGAAUUACUGGGCGUAAAGGGCUCGUAGGCGGCCAACUAAGUCAGACGUGAAAUCCCUCGGCUUAACCGGGGAACUGCGUCUGAUACUGGAUGGCUUGAGGUUGGGAGAGGGAUGCGGAAUUCCAGGUGUAGCGGUGAAAUGCGUAGAUAUCUGGAGGAACACCGGUGGCGAAGGCAGCAUCCUGGACCAAUUCUGACGCUGAGGAGCGAAAGCCAGGGGAGCAAACGGG